rnacentral:lncRNA from 1 species
GCCAUUUAUGUACGGGCUCUGUUUGGUUUUAUAUUUUUUGUUGUUUAACUGUUGUGUUGGUUCUAAGUUCUAGGCUUCAUUUAAAGAAAGAGUUUGCAUAAAUAUAGUGCCUUAAGUUUGAGGUAUGUUAUGGAUCUAUGGCCGUCGCUUGAUCUUCGGGAGGGGCUGGGGCUGCCUACUUUCCUCCAUGGACAUUGCAGUACUUGCAGUCACCGUUGAUGACCACAUUGCCGGGAUCGGGCGACAGGGGAACAGCUGAGCAGAGGGGAAAACAUUAUAGUAUUGAAGACAUCAAAGCCAGUUUAAUGCGCUCAACUCACCAUUGGCCAGGGCGAGCAGACCGAUCACAAAAACGCUGACGACUGAGAAGAAUUUCAUAUUGAUUCUGUAUUCUGGUUCUGCUCUAUGGGCUAGUGCUGAAUGGAUUGGACU